GGACUAUGCUCGGGAUGGAAAGGUGUUAGGGACCAUCUUGAGUUGUGAUUCUCCAACAAAAUGGUUAAAGAAUUCUUUAUUGACCUCAACCAUGACAAUUGUAUCACACAUAAUAGAAUUAGAUCAUCCAUAGUUAUGAUCAAAUUAAAGUAAACAAGAAUUUCCAUCUUGACUUAAAAUUGGGAUUCUAGGGAUACCACAAUUAUAAAAUAUAAUAAAA
rnacentral:misc_RNA from 1 species